ACUCCUACGGGAGGCAGCAGUGGGAAUAUUGCACAAUGGGGGAAACCCUGAUGCAGCCAUGCCGCGUGUGUGAAGAAGGCCUUCGGGUUGUAAAGCACUUUCAGCGAGGAGGAAAGGGUGUGUGUUAAUACCAUACAUCUGUGACGUUACUCGCAGAAGAAGCACCGGCUAACUCCGUGCCAGCAGCCGCGGUAAUACGGAGGGUGCGAGCGUUAAUCGGAAUUACUGGGCGUAAAGCGUGCGCAGGCGGUUUGUUAAGCGAGAUGUGAAAGCCCGGGGCUUAACCUCGGAAUUGCAUUUGAAACUGGCAGGCUAGAGUCUUGUAGAGGGGGUGAGAAUUAUCAGGUGUAGCGGUGAAAUGCGUAGAGAUCUGAAGGAAUACCAGUGGCGAAGGCGGCCCCCUC
rnacentral:rRNA from 1 species